AUGAAUCUCGGCGGGGAGUCAUUCACGGAUCUCUUGUUCAGCUUCUGUUCCCAGCCGGUCGCGACCGUGGGCGUCCUAGAUCUGGCAUUGCCGGAGGGAGGGGAGGAGGACGAUGAGUGCGGUGAUGGAGGGAAAGAUGGUGGUACCGAUCCUCCUUCCUCAAGUUCUGCAUCUCAAGUUCAUGAGGCAACGGAAGAUUUUUUCAAUGUCCCAGAUAUUGACCAAACCGACAGUGACAAGAGCAUCCAUCUGAAUCGCAACGCACUCCAACUCCGUGGCCUCAAAGAGCCCGACUUGGCAAGAUACCCGACCGCCGCGCCUCAUUGUCAGGAAGGAAAAGUGCUUUGGAGAAGGCCAUGA
rnacentral:rRNA from 1 species